rnacentral:rRNA from 1 species
UACGGAGGGUGCAAACGUUGCUCGGAAUCAUUGGGCGUAAAGCGCACGUAGGUGGCCUGUUAAGUCGGGUGUGAAAUCCCUGGGCUCAACCCAGGAAGUGCACUCGAAACUGGCAGGCUUGAGUACUGAAGAGGGUCGCGGAAUUCCCGGUGUAGAGGUGAAAUUCGUAGAUAUCGGGAGGAACACCAGUGGCGAAGGCGGCGAUCUGGGUAGAUACUGACGCUGAGGUGCGAAAGCGUGGGGAGCAAACAGG